rnacentral:rRNA from 1 species
GACGAACGCUGGCGGCGUGCCUAAUACAUGCAAGUGGAGCGACGAACCAGGGCUUGCCCUGGGGCAAAGCCGCGAACGGGUGAGUAACACGUGGGUAACCUGCCCUGAUGAUUGGGACAACCCGAGGAAACUCGGGCUAAUACCAAAUGUGCUUUUCGACCUCAAGGUCGAUUUGGAAAGGUAGCUUCGGCUAACCGCAUCAGGAUGGGCCCGCGGCCCAUUAGCUUGUUGGUGAGGUAACGGCUCACCAAGGCUCCGAUGGGUAGCUGGUCUGAGAGGACGGUCAGCCACACUGGGACUGAGACACGGCCCAGACUCCUACGGGAGGCAGCAGUAGGGAAUCUUGCGCAAUGCGCGAAAGCGUGACGCAGCAACGCCGCGUGGAGGAAGAAGGUCUUCGGAUUGUAAACUCCUUUCAGUUGGGACGAGGCUUCGGCGUUGAAUAGACGUUCGGAGUGACGGUACCUUCAGAAGAAGCCCCGGCUAACUACGUGCCAGCAGCCGCUGUAAGAC